UGGAGAGUUUGAUCCUGGCUCAGAUUGAACGCUGGCGGCAGGCCUAACACAUGCAAGUCGAGCGGCAGCACGGGUACUUGUACCUGGUGGCGAGCGGCGGACGGGUGAGUAAUGCCUAGGAAUCUGCCUGGUAGUGGGGGAUAACGCUCGGAAACGGACGCUAAUACCGCAUACGUCCUACGGGAGAAAGCAGGGGACCUUCGGGCCUUGCGCUAUCAGAUGAGYCUAGGUCGGAUUAGCUAGUUGGUGAGGUAAUGGCUCACCAAGGCGACGAUCCGUAACUGGUCUGAGAGGAUGAUCAGUCACACUGGAACUGAGACACGGUCCAGACUCCUACGGGAGGCAGCAGUGGGGAAUAUUGGACAAUGGGCGAAAGCCUGAUCCAGCCAUGCCGCGUGUGUGAAGAAGGUCUUCGGAUUGUAAAGCACUUUAAGUUGGGAGGAAGGGCAUUUACCUAAUACGUAAGUGUUUUGACGUUACCGACAGAAUAAGCACCGGCUAACUCUGUGCCAGCAGCCGCGGUA
rnacentral:rRNA from 1 species